GGACAGACCAUCGCUGCUGCCAGUGUAAUGCUGGCGGGGGAGGAAAGUCCGGGCUCCAUAGAGCAGAAUGCUGGUUAACGACCAGGCGGCGUGAGCCGACGGAAAGUGCAACAGAGAGCUGAACCGCCAAUGGGAGACUUUGCGAUGCGUAAGCGGCGCAAAGUCCCCUCAUUCAGGAUGCUUGCAUACUGAAUGGACCCAAGUUGAACAGUCGAUUGAAGCGAUUGGGAUUGAGUCAUCGGUAAGGGUGAAAAGGUGUCCUCGUCAGAGGAGCUCCGCAAGGAGUCGGUAAGAGCGCACCGCGGCGCUGGUAACAGUCGCUGGCAGGGUAAACCCCAUUCGGAGCAAGACCAAGCAGUAGGCGUUGAAGCUGCUCGCUGAGUCUACGGGUAGGUUGCUUGAGCGCAUCAGUAAUGGUGCGCCUAGAGGAAUGAUGGUCACGGAUGGCAACAUCUGGACAGGACCCGGCUUAUCGGCCCGCUUC
rnacentral:RNase_P_RNA from 1 species